AGUGAACGCUGGCGGUAGGCCUAACACAUGCAAGUCGAACGGCAGCACAGUAAGAGCUUGCUCUUACGGGUGGCGAGUGGCGGACGGGUGAGGAAUACAUCGGAAUCUACUUUUUCGGGGGGGAUAACGUAGGGAAACUUACGCUAAUACCGCAUACGACCUACGGGUGAAAGCAGUGGAUCUUCGGACCUUGCGCGAUUGAUUGAGCCGAUGUCGGAUUAGCUAGUUGGCGGGGUAACGGCCCACCAAGGCGACGAUCCGUAGCUGGUCUGAGAGGAUGAUCGGCCACACUGGAACUGAGACACGGUCCAGACUCCUACGGGAGGCAGCAGUAGGGAAUAUUGGACAAUGGGCGCAAGCCUGAUCCAGCCAUACCGCGUGGGUGAAGAAGGCCUUCGGGUUGUAAAGCCCUUUUGUUGGGAAAGAAAAGCAGCAGGUUAAUACCCCGCUGUUCUGACGGUACCCAAAGAAUAAGCAACGGCUAACUUCGUG
rnacentral:rRNA from 1 species